rnacentral:lncRNA from 1 species
UAUCUGCAAUACAAUUUAGUUUUUGAAAAAUACAUUUAGUCUAAAAAUGCUGGUUAAUACUAAUUUAACGUUUUGGCUUAUAGUUAUCAAAAAGGUAAUGUUGACUUUUGUUAUAGUAUAUAUAUCUUAUUCAUUUAUUUAUUAUUUUCAACAAUCUUUCCCCUUAACAUCUUACUGGGUGCUAUGGAUAUAGAAAUAAGUGAGAUACAAUGGUCUGGAGAAGACUUAAUGGAACCAUGCCCAACUUUAAGGAGAUACCAGAUUUUCUAGCCGGAAGAUGAACAUUUCUUUAGAGAACAUAUGUUUUAUAAUCUGAUAAUUUCUCUUACUAAAGAGAUUUAGUUCUGGUAUUCUCUCUACAUUUCUAAAAUGAAAAAUACCAAAUAUGUUUAUAUGAGCUUUGAAUUUUUGGCUUGCUGGCCAAGUUUGUUAAAAGUUAGUUACCUAGCUAAUCUUUAAAAUAUUAAACUUCACAAAUUAAUAAGAAUAUUUUUCUAAAUAUACUGACUAGUUUAAAUUUAACUAUUUGAGAAACAUUUCUUUUCUGACACCCUUCUCCCCCAAGUUUGAAAAGGAACUGUCAGGUAGAAAUACUAUGUAAACAUUUGUCUUUGACUAUUGGCCCUAUGCCCAGAUGGUAAAAGUUAAAGUCUGAAUCAAGCCAUGAACUUGUAAACAAUGGAAUAAAAAAGAUAAGCACAUAAUUUUUUAGUGCUUAAGAAUAGUGUCUUUUUAUUAGACUUUGGAAAUAUUGUAGACAUUGACUUCUUCUUGUAGUUCUUUACAAAUUUCAGAUUUGGCAGCUGGAAGUAUGUAGUUCCUUGGUAGAGCACCUGCCUGUCAGUACGCUAAUUGUGGUUUCAUUCUCUGUCGUGGCAAAGUAAAAAAAGGAUGUUUAAAAAAAAUAAAAUUGAAACAUCUAAGCUGAAUGGUUAGUUACGUUUUAUUAAAAGGCCUUAAAACAUGGUAUUUCUAUAGGAUUCAGGUUUUGUAGGUUUCUCAGUUGUUAGAUUUUCUCUGUGUGAUUGGCUGCUGCAGUAGGUUAAGGAAGUUAACGUCUGUGAGGAUGUGGUAGUUGCCUUAGAAUGAUCUUGCUGUUAGCAGUGAAAAAUGUUUUUCUUACAGUUUCUGUGCAGCAGGCCAUGGAGUAAAGCACAUUUUAUAAUAAAGGUGAUGAAUUUAAUCACAAACUGGCAGCCACAUGGAAACUGCAGGCCUUGAUGCUGGGAGAAAAUUGCCUAUAAAGCAACUCUUGAGAGAAGAGGCUUUAAAUUUACCCACCCAUUUCGACAUUGGAGAGAACAUAGGGAUUAUACGAUAUUUUGCUUGGCCUGCUUAGUUCAGAUGAAUGACAUUUGAGUUUUCUACUUAGAGCCAGUUUAAAGUUCUUCAGUCAGACUUUUGUCAAUAAACUUUUACAUUUUUCUAAAUAUUUCUAACAUUGCCUUUUCAGUACAUGAUAUCCUAAUUACUACUGUGCCCUGUAUUUUGUUUCUUUCAUAUUUGAGAAGUUGCACUAUGUAUGUGAGGAACUAUACCUAGAAGAGACACAUGCAAGGCUUAUAAAUAACAAUUAAUAGAAUGCCAUCAGUGGCUACUUUACAUUUGUUUUUAUUCUUUGAAAGUUUUAUGUUGUAUUUUGGUAAUAGUCACUACCCUCCUCCAUCUCUUCCCAGAUCAUUCAGUAUCCAUUUAAUUUUCUGUCAUCAUUUGUUAAAACCCAUCGUGUUCUGUAGAUAUCACUGCUGUUUUGGGUUGUGCCUAACUAAUUUAUGGUAUAAAAUUAGAGCAGAAUGGUAAAACUUGUAUUAUGAGUAAUCUAGGUUCUUAUUCUAUUUUCUCUAAAUGAUUAAUGCUUGUCAUUUUUGAGGAAUAACCCAACCCUUGAUAAUACCAUUCAGUAUUUGGAGCGUUAAACCCAGUUUUGUGGUAUAUUGUAGCAUUCAUUUUGAAAUACUUCAUUUACAUUCAUUAUAUACAUAGCCAUUAGAAGAUGGCCAUUUCAGAUUCAGAGAAUUAUUUGUGGCAAAUGAAAAUAAAAACCCGUCUGUAGUGGGUUUGGCCUAAUGUUGUUUGUAUUCAAAUGUUAAUUUGUGUCCUCCAAAACUGUUUGCACCAGAGUUUACAUGUUAAGACAUUGAGGGACCCUGCCCCCAGUUAAUUAUGAUUAGUAAGUAAACAUUAUUUUAAGAAAGUUAUUAGAUUUUUUUUGAAUAUAUACCCUUGUUCUAAUUGAUCAUAUUUUUUUGAGUAGUACAGUGUAAUAAGUAUGGAAAUCCUGUUUUUAAAGCAGACAUUGAAACUUAAUAUUUGGUGAUUAAAAAAGGAUAGAAGGAAGAAGAGGGUCCUACAAAUGUCUGUAGCCAGGAGACAAUUUAUUGGAGUUGUAGAUCAACUAUAAAGAUGUGAAAAUCAAGAAGGAAUAGUGUUUCCUUUAAAAAUACU